rnacentral:rRNA from 1 species
AACGAACGCUGGCGGCAGGCCUAACACAUGCAAGUCGAGCGCCCUUUCGGGGGAGCGGCGGACGGGUGAGUAACGCGUGGGAAUAUGCCCUUCUCUACGGAAUAGCCUCGGGAAACUGAGAGUAAUACCGUAUACGCCCUGUGGGGGAAAGAUUUAUCGGGGAAGGAUUAGCCCGCGUUGGAUUAGGUAGUUGGUGGGGUAAUGGCCUACCAAGCCGACGAUCCAUAGCUGGUUUGAGAGGAUGAUCAGCCACACUGGGACUGAGACACGGCCCAGACUCCUACGGGGGGCAGCGGGGGGAAUUUUUAGAAAGGGGGGGAACCCGUAAUCUCCCCAUCCGGUGGGAGUAUGAAGGGCUUUGGGGUUGAAAAGCUUUUGAAGAGGGAAGAAUAAGGAGGUAACAACAAAAAAAGCCCCGGCCAACCCCCGGC